rnacentral:rRNA from 1 species
ACAAGUGCUAAUACCGUAUAAUACCAACAACCGCAUGGUUGUUGGUUGAAAGAUGGUUCUGCUAUCACUAAGAGAUGGACCCGCGGUGCAUUAGCUAGUUGGUAAGGUAACGGCUUACCAAGGCAAUGAUGCAUAGCCGAGUUGAGAGACUGAUCGGCCACAAUGGGACUGAGACACGGCCCAUACUCCUACGGGAGGCAGCAGUAGGGAAUCUUCCACAAUGGGCGCAAGCCUGAUGGAGCAACGCCGCGUGUGUGAUGAAGGGUUUCGGCUCGUAAAACACUGUUAUAAGAGAAGAACGGCACUGAGAGUAACUGUUCAGUGUGUGACGGUAUCUUACCAGAAAGGAACGGCUAAAUACGUGCCAGCAGCCGCGGUAAUACGUAUGUUCCAAGCGUUAUCCGGAUUUAUUGGGCGUAAAGCGAGCGCAGACGGUUAUUUAAGUCUGAAGUGAAAGCCCUCAGCUCAACUGAGGAAUGGCUUUGGAAACUGGAUGACUUGAGUGCAGUAGAGGAAAGUGGAACUCCAUGUGUAGCGGUGAAAUGCGUAGAUAUAUGGAAGAACACCAGUGGCGAAGGCGGCU